GACGAACGCUGGCGGCGUGCUUAACACAUGCCAGUCGAACGCUGAACCCGCUUCGGUGGGGGAUGAGUGGCGAACGGGUGAGUAACACGUGGGCAACCUGCCCCCGGCUCUGGGAUAACUCCAAGAAAUUGGGGCUAAUACCGGAUGUGGCCGCUGGCCGCAUGGUCUGGUGGUGGAAAGGGUUUCCGGCUGGGGAUGGGCCCGCGGCCUAUCAGCUUGUUGGUGGGGUAGUGGCCUACCAAGGCGACGACGGGUAGCCGGCCUGAGAGGGUGACCGGCCACACUGGGACUGAGACACGGCCCAGACUCCUACGGGAGGCAGCAGUGGGGAAUAUUGCGCAAUGGGCGGAAGCCUGACGCAGCGACGCCGCGUGGGGGAUGACGGCCUUCGGGUUGUAAACCUCUUUCAGCAGGGACGAAGCGCAAGUGACGGUACCUGCAGAAGAAGCACCGGCCAACUACGUG
rnacentral:rRNA from 1 species